rnacentral:lncRNA from 1 species
UCAAUGGCUUCCCCUUGUUUUUCUCCUUUAAUGCUCCUUGAAUCCUCCUUAAUGGUGGAAUGGAUGGAUGAUGAACUUCUUGAUGAUGUUGAAUGAAAUGGUGAUGAAGAUAUUAUGCUUCUUUGGUAAAUUUUGAGUGGUAGUGAUGGAGUUUAUGGUGGUGGUGAUAGAGUUUAUGGUGGUGGAAUAUGGUAGUUGUGGUGGUGGUGAUGGAGGAGAUGGAGUAAGAAAGAAAAUGUAAUGGGGUGGAAUGGGUGAUGCCUUAAGAGUGUGAUGAAGGGGUACUUAUAUAGAG